AUUGAACGCUGGCGGCAUGCUUUACACAUGCAAGUCGAACGGUAGGGUAGCAAUACCUGAGAGUGGCGAACGGGUGAGUAAUGCAUCGGAACAUGCCUAUUAGUGGGGGAUAGCCCGGCGAAAGCCGGAUUAAUACCGCAUACGAUCUAAGGAUGAAAGCAGGGGACCGCAAGGCCUUGCGCUAAUGGAGUGGCCGAUGUCAGAUUAGCUAGUUGGUGGGGUAAAGGCUCACCAAGGCGACGAUCUGUAGCUGGUUUGAGAGAACGACCAGCCACACUGGGACUGAGACACGGCCCAGACUCCUACGGGAGGCAGCAGUGGGGAAUUUUGGACAAUGGGCGCAAGCCUGAUCCAGCAAUGCCGCGUGCAGGAUGAAGGCC
rnacentral:rRNA from 1 species